UAGGGAAUAUUGGACAAUGGGUGCGAGCCUGAUCCAGCCAUGCCGCGUGCAGGAAGAAAGCCUUCUGGGUUGUAAACUGCUUUUCUCUGGGGAUAAAAGGCCCAUGCGUGGGACAUUGAAGGUACCAGAGGAAUAAGCCACGGCUAACUACGUGCCAGCAGCCGCGGUAAUACGUAGGUGGCAAGCGUUGUCCGGAUUUAUUGGGUUUAAAGGGUGCGUAGGCGGCUUUGUAAGUCAGUUGUGAAAUACGGCAGCUCAACUGUCGAGGUGCAAUUGAUACUGCAAAGCUUGAGUACUGAUGAGGUAGGCGGAAUGGACGGUGUAGCGGUGAAAUGCUUAGAGAUCGUCCAGAACACCGAUAGCGAAGGCAGCUUACUAAGGAGUAACUGACGCUGAGGCACGAAAGUGUGGGGAUCAAACAGGAUUAGAUACCCUGGUAGUCCACGCCCUAAACGAUGUCAACUGGUUGUUGGGAAGGUUCCUUCUCAGUAACGUAGCUAACGCGUGAAGUUGACCGCCUGGGGAGUACGGCCGCAAGGUUG
rnacentral:rRNA from 1 species